rnacentral:snRNA from 1 species
AUACUUACCUGGCAGAGGAGACACCAUGAUCAGGAAGGUGGUUUUCCCAGGGUGAGGCUCAUCCAUUGCACUUGGGAUGUGCUGACCCCUGUGAUUGCCCCAAAUGCAGGAAACUCAACUGCAUAAUUUGUGGUAAUGGGAGAUUGCGUUUGCAUUUUGCCC